UCUCCUGAGCACGCUAGUUGCACCUACAGAAACAUAUAACUUUUCUCUUUUUUUCUUUGGGUCGUGAUCGCCAUGCCACUCGAGCAUAUCAACCUAACCCGCGACCGCCUCAACUCCGCUGCUGCUGCUGCCUCGUCAGGGCGCGGCGGCGGCAGCGGUGAGGCGGCCGCACGGCAGGGUGGCGAGAAGUUUACCGCGACCCCGGAGGAGAUGCGUGUAAUCCAGGAGAAGAUGAAGGAUCCCGUCUUUGCGGAGCUCAUGCAUGAAUACAUGAAGUCAUUGGAGGACCCCGAAACGCGACGCGAGGAGGAGGCGUACCUAGAGCAGGCCGAACGGGAGGCGCGAGAGGGUGGCGACUUCAGCUUCGAGUUUGUUUUUCCGCGUGCCGCGUUUGUAUUGGAGCUGCUGGAGCCGUCGAACACGGCUGUGUCGGCGGCGGAGCUUAAGGGGCUGGGCCUUGACGCGUCCGCCGCAACACGGACCGCGUUGAAAAGCAGCGGUGUCCGCUGUUUUUUGAACAUCUGCUCAAGCGAAAAGGUAAAGACUUUCACCGAGCACACCACAGGAGAUGCCAGGGGGAGCAACUGGGAGGUGCCAGUGUCCGUGUCGCAGCGGCGCGUGGAGGCGUAUCAGCCAGUGAAGUCCAGCCCAACCGCAUCGAUCCCGGCCGAGUACGCAGCGGCGUGCAGCAUUGCUUCUGCGUCAUCGUCCUCUCCAUCGGUGUGCGUCGUGCGCGAUGUCGUGUUCCACCCCUCAACGCUCGCCCUGGCAGAGCGUAGCACGCGCUUCAUGUGCUUCUUGACGGAGAUCGCUGUCGAGCACAUCAACAGCGGCUAUGGCGAGUCGAACGGCUUCCAGUUCCGCCGCCUGCCUAGCAGCAUCGUCUCCAUUGGCACCCCGCUGAAUCAAACAAUUCGAUCCUCGUCGCGGGCGGGCGGGUCGCCGUUCGACGUGGACCCGCGUGCUCCGGUGCUUACAAGGCCAACGAAGAGCUGGCCGAUCGUCAAGGACAGCGACUGCAGCCGAAGCGCUGCGUCACCACCCCCUAGCACCACUUCUGCCAAGGUGCCGACGUCGUCGGGCACUCAAGGCGCGAAGGCGCCGCAAUGCGUCGUGAGCGAGGCCGCUGCUGUCUCUGCACCCUCGCCGAGAACUUCGACGCUGCCGCCGUACACAGUAACGCACCGCGGCUCCGUCGAUCUCACAGAUGCAUGGCAGUGGAGGGUUUCGGAUAAGCGCGUCGGGGUGCCCGAGGAGCUGAUCGUGAAGAUGACGUUUGCCGGGGUGCGACGAGCUGCAAUGCUGGAUAUCGCUAUCACGCCAGACGGCCAGGCAGUGCGCAUCGACCCCACUGAGGGCCAGAGCCGCUAUGAGGGGCUGCUUGUGCUGCCCUUCACGGUGGAGGAGGCGCCCCUGAAAGCCCAGUUCGACUGCUCGCGCGGCGUGCUUACGUUGACGCUGAAGGUGGUGCCGCCCCCGCUCCCAGAUGGCGCGCCGAGCGCGGAGCAGCUGCGCAAGACACUCCAGGGCGAGGCGGGUGACGCGGUGGACGAGGGUAUCGGUGAGGGCUCACAGCACGCAACCGAAAGUCAACCGACUCAGCCGCAGUCGCCUCCUGCCGCGCCAAGUCCUCUGGCUACUGCGGCGGAGGCGGAGGCGGAGGCGCUGGCCGAAGAGGCAGCUGUAUCACCCGCAUCAGUCACGCGUGCUGAGUCGCCAACGAAGGCUCCCGCGGAGCCGCCGGUGCCGACCCCUGCAGCACUGACCUCGAGCGGCCCUGAAUUGGCGCACAUCGGCGACCAGUAUCGUGUGGCCGAGAUGAUGGCGCAAGUGCGGGCCGCGCGAGAGGCGCGGGGGGUAGCGACUGCUGCCGUGACAGCCACAGAUGACGCCGAUAUCGCAAAGGCUGAUACCUCCGCACCCGCCCCUGCGUCUGCGCCUACAGAUAGUGGCAGCGAGAAUUCUGCCCAGAAAAUGCAGCACGCGCCUGUCGGUGCUGCGGGGGGCAGCGCCACGUUAGAGAUCGCUGCUGCGCAAGAGACGUCACAGGAAGCGAUUCCGUUUAUUUGCAAAGGACCUGCGAAGACGGCGGCCCUGCCGGCCGCCGCCGACGUCGGCGACGACAUGGAGACUCUGCGCGCACGUCAGCAGGCCUGGGUGGCCAUGAUAGAGGCGGAGAUGCAAGUGGCGAAGGCGCGCGAGGAGGCUGAGGCUGCCCAAGCGGCGCAGGAGACAGCGGCGCAGGCAGCGAAAGCCCGUCGUAAGAUUGCAGCGGAAAAGGAGCUGGAGCGACUGGCCCACGUUGCCAAGGCGAAGCGGGACUCGCUACCUUUGUCGAACAAGUACAUCUUUUCUAUCGACUAAGGGACAUCUGCAUGUGAUGGUGGUGAGACGGCGAAACGAGGAGAGCGCUUGCGCGUUCGGCCCUCCCUUCCCACCCUUCCUCUUGCGUCUGUCUCCACCCUUCUGUCAGCCGCCUGCGCCUUCUAUUCUUAUCGGGUGUCUGUGCCAAUGCUUCGGUGUGCUGCAUGAUGUAUAUUUGCCUCCCCGUGUGUCGGAAGCCCUGGACCGGGGGAGGGGAGGAAGGAGGGUCGUCGAGGGGCGAAGGCGUACACAUUUCGUUACGUUCCUCGUCACGAUCUCUGCACCUCUUCCCCCCCCCCUGCACACACACUCUUUCGUCUGCACACGACAUCCUCCGCACAGGGUGAGAGGGAGGGAUGGGAUGGGAGGCGGCGGUACCUCCGUUGUCGUUCGGCGAAGGUACCGCCACAAUUCCCCCCCCCCUACUCGCGGCCCUUGCUCACACAACGGAUACCGAACACGGAACACAGAUGGAACACACAGAAAAGAACGCUGCCGCGAACCGGCCACGUCCACCGCCCCCCACUCCUCUCCACCUCGCUGGCUCGAUGUGCGGAUGCGUUUCGUUUGUUUGUUGUUGUGACCGCGCCGAUACGGCGGGCGCUCAUGUGAUCCCCUGCCCCCUUUUCG
rnacentral:misc_RNA from 1 species